UGAUGCUGGUGUCAGGAGGAGCAGGAGGUGAAAGGCUUCAGCAGAGGAGAGCAGGCAGAUGGCUGACAGUGAGAGGUGAGCAGAGCUGGAAGGAGGGAGGACAGAUGGACUGUGUGGUCAGAGGUGGAUGAAGAGGGGAGAUCAUACGGUCAAAUUCAGUGCAAAGCAGCUGCUGUGUUCAGUCAACAUGAUGAUGCUGCUCAUCUUCAUCACAUGUUGUCCGCUCCAGCUGUGUGAGCAGAGCAGCAGCAGAGAUGGAGGCUGAUGAUGGUCUGGAUCAUCAGGUUUCUUUGGCUGUGCGAUGGAGAGCCACUCCUUACUAAACCACAACCUGGAGAGGGCGUCCGUCCAGCUUCAGGAUCGCCUGGCAUGAGUUUGUGGAGGGCCUGGGCUUUUGGAGGGUCCCGCUGCUGCUGCUGGUGGUCAUCACCCUCCUCUCCCUGGGCAACACCUACUCUGUGACCGAGGCUCUCACACAUUGUCAUUUCAUCCCUGUUUGCUCUGUGACAAGCUGUGUAUUGCUAAUGUUUUGUAUCUUUGAUUUUCUCUUCACUUGUUAUUUAUUCAAAUGUCUUCUGCAUGAAUUUUCCCCUUGCUGUCUUUAUUUUAUACAAAUACCUGCAGCAUUUAUUUAGAGAGCGUCUCAGUCUGACUGGAAACAGUUCUGACUUUAUUCAUCAAAUGUUUGAAGUAAUUUAAUGUGCAAAAUGAAUAAAAUCAUGUAUGAAUGACUGUAAUCUUAAUCAGGGGAGAGUCACUUUAUCAACUUUAUGGACACAGUUUCUGUGCCCCCC